rnacentral:misc_RNA from 1 species
AAGUCGUAACAAGGUUUCCGUAGGCGAACCUGCGGAAGGAUCAUUACAGAGAACUUGCCCUUCGGGGUAGAUCUCCCACCCUUUGUUUACAAUACCAUUGUUGCUUUGGCAGGCCCGUCUCCGGACCACCGGCUCAGGCUGGUCAGUGCCUGCCAGAGGACCCAAAACUCUUCUAUAAUUUAUUGUCUGAGUACUACAUAAUAGUUAAAA